UACGGAGGGUGCAAGCGUUAUCCGGAUUCACUGGGUUUAAAGGGUGUGUAGGCGGAUUUUUAAGUCAGUGGUGAAAUCUCCGGGCUCAACCCGGAAACUGCCAUUGAUACUAUUAGUCUUGAAUUCUGUUGAGGUGGGCGGAAUACAUCAUGUAGCGGUGAAAUGCUUAGAUAUGAUGUAGAACACCGAUUGCGAAGGCAGCUCACUAAGCAGACAUUGACGCUGAGGCACGAAAGCGUGGGGAGCAAACAGG
rnacentral:rRNA from 1 species